GGCCUUUAGCACAACACGUAUUAAAGGUCCCGCCUGCCCAGUGAUUCACUUUUAACGGCCGCGGUACUCUAACCGUGCAAAGGUAGCGUAAUCACUUGCCCCUUAAAUAGGGGCUUGUAUGAAUGGCUAGAUGAGGGCUCAACUGUCUCCUAAGACACCCCAAUGAACCUGCUCUCCCAGUACAAAAGCUGGAAUAACCCCAUAAGACGAGAAGACCCUGUGGAGCUUUUAAACACACUAUCAAGCUGCCCCAGCCCGUGAUAGCAACUUUAAGUUGGGGCGACUACGGAGAAAUACAGAACCUCCACGAAAUAAACUAAAACCUGCCCCAGGCUAACAUACCAAAGGCACCCAGCCCUCUGACCCAGUAUAACUGAACACCGGACCAAGUUACCCCAGGGAUAACAGCGCCAUCCCCCUCAAGAGUCCCUAUCGCCAGGGGGGUUUACGACCUCGAUGUUGGAUCAGGACACCCCGGUGGUGUAGCCGCUGCCAAAGGUUCGUUUGUUCAACGACUAAUGUCCUACGUG
rnacentral:rRNA from 1 species